GUCUACGGCCAUGCCGCCUUGAACAAGCCCAAUCCCAUCUGAUCUUGGAAGCUAAGCAGGGUUGGGCUUGGUUAGUACUUGGAUGGGAGACCACCUAGGAAGACCAGGCACUGUAAGUG
rnacentral:rRNA from 1 species